UCGUUCAACAAAAAGAUCUAUUUCGCUUUCAGAAUCUACGACUGUGAGGAUUGAAUUUAAAUUUGGCAACACAAAGACAAUAUACUCGUGAAUUAUACUCGUCGAUUAUAAAUUGAUUUUACUUUACGUAGAAUCUCAAUCAUAAUUCUCCAUUCAAAAUGUUUUCAUGGGGAAUUCUCAGUUUAAACGAAUCUAUGAAUAUUUUUAAUGUAGAGAAUACGAUAGAAAUUCUCAAUUUAAAUAAUUUCCUUCUAUUCAACUAUGACUCGUUCUAACGAUGACUCAAAAAUGACUGUAUUCCUUUGUUAAAUCUAUUCCAUUGUCACCACACUUUAGAACAAAUAUAUUGUACACUUUGGAAUUGAUAUAUUCGCGUGCAUAAAAAUACAACAGUGAUUCACAAUUAAUCUCACAAGGAUUAUCAUAAACUAAUGAUUCAUCAGAAAAUGAUACUUCUUCAUACCCGCGGGUAAUCUAUAUUGCUCCAAGAUCCUGUAAAAUGCUAUUCAGGCGACAAUUUCAAUUUCUACAAAACGUUCAUUAAUUUUCUUAUUCCCAACGAUAAAUGGACAAGAUUGCCUCGCAGUAUUCUUAGCUAUUCAAGUUAUCUGUUAGAUACCGGUGUCUUCCUUCGCUGUUUCAUUUAUACAGUGACUCAAUCCUAUUCAGAAUUUCAGCAAACGACGCGAUAAAGUACCGCAAAAAUGUCUGCCAAGCAGCCAUCAUGCUAGUUCACUCCAAGUAGCGUCCUACGAGUGCCGAGAUCUUUCAUGCUCAAGAGGAUCGGACGAAGAUCAGGCUGAACUCGUCGGAGCCCGCAGUUUACUCACAACGUCGCUGAUAUUUUCGGGGAACGCCUCGAGGCCCUGUCUCGCGCACAUGACAGUUCUCGGCUGUUGGCCCAAGUAGCAGGAGCAUCUCCUCGGGCAGACGGUUUGGCAGACCGCCGAAGUGAGCAGAACCGAGAACGUGGCUGCUAAUGUGACCAAACACCUGCCCGUCGUAAUCCGUUUCUCCAUGUUCACUGCUAUAGGACACGAUCCCUAUGGAAAUCACAUUUUCAUCGAAACGAAGACACUGGUGAAAAAGACGGCUUUGGCCUAGGAUCGAUGGCCCCGACAGUGCUUGGAACCGUCCUGAAAACUACUGAGUACUUAUCUUUGAUAAGUAACGCGGGAUAUACCGCACGAUAUCUCAGCAAGAUAACUCGACCGCGCGGCGAGGUGAGCGCAUUAUUCCCCGCCGCGAACGAAAGAAUUGGAUAGGGGGCAGACGGGUGUCCGAGCUGGAAAUUGGUGGUUUAUUCGUUUUUAAGAGGGUACGAGUGGAUCGGAAAUCGCGAUUGAUGGACUUUGGUGUUAUCUAGUAAAGCUUUUACUAUAUAGGUAUACACAAGUACAUAUAUAAAGGUAGAAUUCAAGAUGUUAGAUACUCUGUUUGUUUAAGUGAGACUAUCCGUUUUACUACACUCUGUUUUUGUUAGUAAUUCGGCUUGUGUAGAAUUUUAUUUUGGUGUAAGAUCA